rnacentral:rRNA from 1 species
GUGGGGAAUUUUGGACAAUGGGCGCAAGCCUGAUCCAGCAAUGCCGCGUGCAGGAAGAAGGCCUUCGGGUUGUAAACUGCUUUUGUACGGAACGAAACGGUCCUGGUUAAUACCUGGGGCUAAUGACGGUACCGUAAGAAUAAGCACCGGCUAACUACGUGCCAGCAGCCGCGGUAAUACGUAGGGUGCAAGCGUUAAUCGGAAUUACUGGGCGUAAAGCGUGCGCAGGCGGUUUUGUAAGACAGGCGUGAAAUCCCCGGGCUCAACCUGGGAAUUGCGCUUGUGACUGCAAGGCUGGAGUGCGGCAGAGGGGGAUGGAAUUCCGCGUGUAGCAGUGAAAUGCGUAGAUAUGCGGAGGAACACCGAUGGCGAAGGCAAUCCCCUGGGCCUGCACUGACGCUCAUGCACGAAAGCGUGGGGAGCAAACAGGAUUAGAAACCCCAGUAGUCC